rnacentral:rRNA from 1 species
UACGAAGGGGGCUAGCGUUGUUCGGAAUUACUGGGCGUAAAGCGCACGUAGGCGGACUAUUAAGUCAGGGGUGAAAUCCCGGGGCUCAACCCCGGAACUGCCUUUGAUACUGGUAGUCUCGAGUCCGGAAGAGGUGAGUGGAAUUCCGAGUGUAGAGGUGAAAUGCGCAGAUAUCAGGAGGAACACCAGCGGCGAAGGCGGCGCUCUGGGCUGGAACUGACGCUGAGGAGCGAAAGCGUGGGGAGCGAACAGG